rnacentral:rRNA from 1 species
CAGAGGUCUCAAGCGUUGUUCGGACUCAUUGGGCGUAAAGGGUGCGUAGGUGGCGGGGUAAGUCAGGUGUGAAAUUUCGGAGCUUAACUCCGAAACUGCAUCUGAUACUGCCUUGCUUGAGGACUGGAGAGGAGACUGGAAUUCACGGUGUAGCAGUGAAAUGCGUAGAUAUCGUGAGGAAGACCAGUGGCGAAGGCGGGUCUCUGGACAGUUCCUGACACUGAGGCACGAAGGCCAGGGGAGCAAACGGGAUUAGAUACCCCGGUAGUCCUGGCAGUAAACGGUGCACGUUUGGUGUGAGAGGAUUCGACCCCUUUCGCGCCGGAGCUAACGCGUUAAACGUGCCGCCUGGGGAGUACGGUCGCAAGAUUA